rnacentral:rRNA from 3 species
UUAAGUGACUAAGCGUACACGGUGGAUGCCUUGGCAGUCAGAGGCGAUGAAAGACGUAGUAACUUGCGAUAAGCCCAGAUUAGGUAGUAACAACCAUUUGAGUCUGGGAUUUCUGAAUGGGGAAACCCACGUGCAUAAGCACGUAUCCUUACCUGAAUACAUAGGGUAAGGAGGCGAACCGGGGGAACUGAAACAUCUAAGUACCCCGAGGAAAAGAAAUCAACCGAGAUUCCGAAAGUAGCGGCGAGCGAAAUUGGACUAGCCCUUAAGCUUUACACGCGUUAGACGAACGGUCUGGAAAGUCCGACGAUACAGGGUGAUAGUCCCGUAGUUGACGACGUGUGUUCAGUGAAAUCGAGUAGGGCGGGACACGUGAUAUCCUGUCUGAAUAUGGGGGGACCAUCCUCCAAGGCUAAAUACUACUGACUGACCGAUAGUGAACCAGUACCGUGAGGGAAAGGCGAAAAGAACCCCUGUGAGGGGAGUGAAAUAGAACCUGAAACCGUGUACGUACAAGCAGUAGGAGCAGGCUUUGUCCUGUGACUGCGUACCUUUUGUAUAAUGGGUCAGCGACUUAUAUUCAGUGGCAAGGUUAACCAUCUAGGGGAGCCGUAGGGAAACCGAGUCUUAACUGGGCGUUCAGUCUCUGGAUAUAGACCCGAAACCAGGUGAUCUAGCCAUGGGCAGGUUGAAGGUUGAGUAACAUCAACUGGAGGACCGAACCGACUAAUGUUGAAAAAUUAGCGGAUGACUUGUGGCUAGGGGUGAAAGGCCAAUCAAACCUGGAGAUAGCUGGUUCUCCCCGAAAGCUAUUUAGGUAGCGCCUCGGACGAAUACUACUGGGGGUAGAGCACUGUUAAGGCUAGGGGGUCAUCCCGACUUACCAACCCUUUGCAAACUCCGAAUACCAGUAAGUACUAUCCGGGAGACACACGGCGGGUGCUAACGUCCGUCGUGGAGAGGGAAACAACCCAGACCGCCAGCUAAGGUCCCAAAUUACUACUAAGUGGGAAACGAUGUGGGAAGGCUCAGACAGCCAGGAUGUUGGCUUAGAAGCAGCCAUCAUUUAAAGAAAGCGUAAUAGCUCACUGGUCGAGUCGGCCUGCGCGGAAGAUGUAACGGGGCUAAGUAGUAAACCGAAGCUGCGGCAAUGUGCUUUUGCACAUUGGGUAGGGGAGCGUUCUGUAAGCGGUUGAAGGUGUGUGGUAACGCAUGCUGGACGUAUCAGAAGUGCGAAUGCUGACAUGAGUAACGAUAAAGGGGGUGAAAAACCUCCUCGCCGGAAGACCAAGGGUUCCUGUCCAACGUUAAUCGGGGCAGGGUAAGUCGACCCCUAAGGCGAGGCCGAAAGGCGUAGUCGAUGGGAAACGGGUUAAUAUUCCCGUACUUCUUACAAUUGCGAUGGGGGGACGGAGAAGGCUAGGUGGGCCUGGCGACGGUUGUCCAGGUUCAAGUGCGUAGGCUUGAGAGUUAGGUAAAUCCGGCUCUUUUUAAGGCUGAGACACGACGUCGAGCACCUACGGGUGUGAAGUCAUUGAUGCCAUGCUUCCAGGAAAAGCCUCUAAGCUUCAGAUUGUAAGGAAUCGUACCCCAAACCGACACAGGUGGUCGGGUAGAGAAUACCAAGGCGCUUGAGAGAACUCGGGUGAAGGAACUAGGCAAAAUGGUACCGUAACUUCGGGAGAAGGUACGCUCUCGACGGUGAAGUCCCUCGCGGAUGGAGCUAUUGAGAGUCGCAGAUACCAGGUGGCUGCAACUGUUUAUUAAAAACACAGCACUGUGCAAAAUCGUAAGAUGACGUAUACGGUGUGACGCCUGCCCGGUGCCGGAAGGUUAAUUGAUGGGGUUAGACUUCGGUCGAAGCUCUUGAUCGAAGCCCCGGUAAACGGCGGCCGUAACUAUAACGGUCCUAAGGUAGCGAAAUUCCUUGUCGGGUAAGUUCCGACCUGCACGAAUGGCGUAAUGAUGGCCACGCUGUCUCCACCCGAGACUCAGUGAAAUUGAAAUCGCUGUGAAGAUGCAGUGUACCCGCGGCUAGACGGAAAGACCCCGUGAACCUUUACUACAGCUUGGCACUGAACAUUGACCCUACAUGUGUAGGAUAGGUGGGAGGCUUUGAAGCACGUACGCCAGUAUGUGUGGAGCCGUCCUUGAAAUACCACCCUUGUAGUGUUGAUGUUCUAACGUCGACCCCUUAUCGGGGUUGCGGACAGUGCCUGGUGGGUAGUUUGACUGGGGCGGUCUCCUCCCAAAGAGUAACGGAGGAGCACGAAGGUGGGCUAAUCACGGUUGGACAUCGUGAGGUUAGUGCAAUGGCAUAAGCCCGCUUGACUGCGAGAAUGACAAUUCGAGCAGGUGCGAAAGCAGGUCAUAGUGAUCCGGUGGUUCUGAAUGGAAGGGCCAUCGCUCAACGGAUAAAAGGUACUCCGGGGAUAACAGGCUGAUACCGCCCAAGAGUUCAUAUCGACGGCGGUGUUUGGCACCUCGAUGUCGGCUCAUCACAUCCUGGGGCUGAAGUCGGUCCCAAGGGUAUGGCUGUUCGCCAUUUAAAGUGGUACGCGAGCUGGGUUUAGAACGUCGUGAGACAGUUCGGUCCCUAUCUGCCGUGGGCGUUGGAAGAUUGAAGGGGGCUGCUCCUAGUACGAGAGGACCGGAGUGGACGAACCUCUGGUGUUCGGGUUGUGUCGCCAGACGCAUUGCCCGGUAGCUAAGUUCGGAAUCGAUAACCGCUGAAAGCAUCUAAGCGGGAAGCGAGCCCUGAGAUGAGUCUUCCCUGAUACUUUAAGUAUCCUAAAGGGUUGUCGGAGACUACGACGUUGAUAGGUCAGGUGUGUAAGUGCUGUGAGGCAUUGAGCUAACUGAUACUAAUUGCCCGUGAGGCUUAACCAU